AUACUUAGUUUUCUGGUUUAGUUCCUGCUGCCAUCCACAUUCCACAUCUGAUCAAGUGAACCUGGUCUGUACACUUUCAGGACUACAAUCCCUGAAUAUGUAGAACUUUCCACUCUUUUUAUCUCCCAGCCCCUAAGUAAAAGUGCCAACUUGCUCAGUUUCUAUCCAUAACCUGUGAGCAAACAGAUAUUUUUGUCAAGCUUUUCCUCAUUUCAAGAAAUAGGCCAGGAUCUGCAGAGAACACACUUGAUUACAUAUCAGCACACUCCAAUACUUCACUACUUUACUGUAUAGUAAAAUAAGUAAACAAUUUAACUUGUAUUCUGUUAUAAGAAAAGUACAACCUUAUUGAGCAUUCCCAACAAAAUAUUAUUGUAUUCAUUGCAAAAAUAACAAAUGUUUUAUCAGAUGCUACUAAGACUAUGACUCUGCCCAAGGGAGACUCCAAGGAGUUGCCACAUGCUAGACUACAAAGAACCAAUGAGAUCAAGUAGAUGAAGUGUGUGUAUAGACACUGGCUGGGUCAUCGAGUGCCAUAAUUCUCAGGGACUUCUGAAUGUUUCCUCAGAGAACAAGGAAGCAGCCUGUUUGACACCUUGAGGGAUGCUGAAAGUGGGCAUCGUGUCGUUCUUAACAUGAAUUGUCCACUCAGGAUUAGCUAGGGCUAUUGUUCCAGGAGAGUUACUUGCUCUUCAUCCUUUGUGUUUAUCAUUCAUAUGAUUAUGUAUACUUCUUUGUUUUGAAUGCUCUGCUACUAAUAAGCCAUCUAAAAUAAUCCUGAUUUAUUGUUAGUGAGGAAUAGCUGAAGACAAAACCCUAACAACUGCCCUCUGAAACAGAUUGGCUCUGUAUUGCAAUUAAUUCAAUAAAACUGUAUUGACCAAUCA